rnacentral:lncRNA from 1 species
AAACUCAGCUUCCCCUAGGGAAAUGUGCUGUGGAGGGAGGAAGUCUGAUUGGAGUUUACCGAAUCCAGGGUUCACCCAUAAGCCAUUGUGUGACCUUGGUCUGACCUUUAGCCUCCCCCGGCCUCAGUGUCCUCAUCUGUAAAGUGGAAAUAACGAUACCUACUUCACAUGUUUAUAAUAAAUACUAAAUGAAAUUCUAUAUAUGUAAUUGUUUAACCUGGCACCUGGUGCAUAUUUGGUGUCAAUGCCCUUUAGUUUCUAUUCUCAUCAGAACGCUCCUGAGCUAAGAAUUAGUUGAACAACUUAAUAACAGAAAACACUGAUUGGGUUUUUCUAUGAACUGGCACCACACUAGGUACUUUACAUGUGUCAUCACAUGUAAACCUUCCAUGUCGUGGGACCAUCCAAUGAUGCAAGCUCCCCUGUAGCCCCACUUAGCAGAUAAAGAAAUUAAAACCCAGAGAGGUUAAAUAAUUCCUCCAAGGUUACACUUAAGGGGACAUGGAAGAGGAUUUAAACUCAGGUGGGGCAAACAAUGAAGAUUCUUAACUUACUUAGAAGCAGGCUGGCUUACAGAUAUGAGAAAGAAAGAAAAAAAAAAACAAUUUAAAAAAAUGUAUACUCCUCAUGUCUUUUCUGGCCUUUCACCUAUAAUUAAGCACUCCAGUUUCUAGCCACCAACCAGGUUAUUUUCCCCAAGUUCUUCUACCACCUGGAUUCCUAAACCUAGAAAGGGAGGAAGUGUGUUGGCCUGCGUAACCUCUAAGGUCCCUGAAGCUUCUCCAUCCAAAGGCCAGCUUUGCCAGGAAUCCAUUAACACCUAGUGCACAACAGUUAGGUACCUCUGUGUCUGUUCUCUAGACCUGCUGAUGUCCAGCCCCAUUCGGAGCAUUUUAUUGUAGACAGCUCCUUCAGAGGCUUUCAGGGCCUGAUGUCUGGGUGUUAAAGUGCUGAAAGGAGUGGCCCUGGGUCAGCAGAUGAAAAGAUAAUUCCUUUGGAGUCCUGCCUGACUUUCCUCAGGCAGAAGCCACUGGUGAAAUUUUAAUCUGGGAAGGUGCACAUGACCGAUGAGAACACAGGUAGAUUUCAAUGACCUUGAAGGUUCAUAAUGGUCUUUGGUCUGGAUACACCUUAGAAUAAUCUAGGAAGGUUUUAAAAUAUGCUGAUGCUCAGGCCCCAGUGAAGAACAACUGAAUUGGAAUCCCUGAGGGUAAGCCCAGUUGUCAGUUACAGGUUUUGAAUUCUCCCCGGGUGAUUCGAGUUCCCACUUCUUUGCAUUGCUUACUGGGCUUGUCUCCCCAGUAGGCUACCUAUACCCAGUCCUUGUGCUGUGGUCACCUUCUCGAAUAUUCCAAUCUAAGACACUCAGUGAAAAUAUCUUACUUAUCUCAACAGUCUGCUCAAAAAUAUGUUGUGUGAAUGGGUGGAGGGAAAGUAGAAAGAGGCUGCUAGGUCCCCAAAUUAAAGAACCUAUUACAUGGAGCAACAUCUCUAAAGGGACCCUGUGAUCAGUUAGAAGAACAAAGGUUUGAUACAUUCCAGGUGCCCCUUCCCUGCCCAGCGACCACCCCAAGGCCUCCGAAACCCCAAGAUCUCCCCUCAUAAAUAAACCUGCCCCUUGCAAGUAUAGCCUCUGAAAGGGUACACAAAUAUUCCUUCAAAAAUUAGGCAUGUGGUGCACAAACCUUAUGCCUGGGCCUUAAGGCAGGUGCUUUGAUAAAUUCAUUAUCUAAAUGAAGGAGUUCUUAUUGUGGCUCCGUGGGUUAAGAACCCAAUAUAGUGCUUGUGAGGAUGGGGGUCCCACCCCUGGCCUCGAUCAGUGGAUUAAGGAUCCAGCAUUGCUGCAAGCUGCAGUGUAGUUUGCAGAUACAGCUCAGAUCCAGUGUUUCUGUGGCUAUGGCAUAGGCCUUAGCUUUGGCUCCAAUUCAACCCCUAGCCCAGGAACUUUCAUAUGCCACAGAAAUAGCCCUAAAAAGAUUUUUAAAAUAAAGUUGAUGAAGAAGAUUGGGAGUAAAAAGGAGGGGGUACAGAAAAAGGUAAGACAAAGGCCAUCACACACCCAGUGCUCACUACAUGGCACUGAUGUUUUGAUGUCUGGAUUUAUCCUCUUAACAGCUCUCUGUAGUGGCUCAAAAUUUUCCCAAAGGUUUGUCAUGGGACCUGAACUUGAAGCCGGGCAUAUCCUUUCCAUCACACUUGAGCCCCUUCCCGUGUUUCACAAGCAUCUUCCACGUGCUGCUCACUGCGUCUAGCACCCGCCGUCUCACACUUUGCCAAUGUCAAGACUUUGUCUGCUUCUGUUUGCAGUAGAGGGGUCCUGCCUCCCAAGUUUGGGGGAUGGCAUAUUACUCCAUUAAAGUGGUGUACAGUCACCUUUGUAUGCCAAGAACUGUGUAAGGCAAUGUGGCACCAUGGGGACAUAGUUACACAUUUCCUGUAACUACAUCGAGGAGCACAACCGACUUAGACCCCAGAUGCACCACAUUGAUGCUGAAGACACAUCUUUCACAGGCUGGCCCCUCUCAGUGACUGGCUGCUGCAGGGGCUCUAAGUCUGACCCCAUCUCUGACUCAGGACUCAGAGACUCCAUUACUGGCCAACUUAAGCUCAAGGAUGUCCCAAUGAUUUUGUCAACCCUCCCUCAUACUAAACAGUGGUCUGGGAUGCAUUUGCUCAACCUUUAUCCCCCUCUCCUUUACAGAGCGAGACUUAGAUCGGACUCUGAACUCUACCAGCCUUUCUAAACUGCUUCCCUAUUUCUUUUCAAAGGGGCAUUCCCUCCAAUAAAAUCUUGGCAUGUUUAGUCUUUAGACCUGAACCAAUAUGGGUUGGUUCAUUCAAGGUCUCACAAUUUCUAUCUUUAGUUUUUAGAUAAAGUUUUUAGAUAAACUAGCCCACAGUCAACUUGAAGAGAGGAUCAGGGCUUAAACUCAGUUUCUCCUGACUUCACAACAUACAUACUCUGCACUGGUCACUUUCCAGAAUGCAUUGUCCCCUUCUUGUACAGAAAUCUUCAUGGAGAUUAACAGAAAGCACUUCCAGCAUAACUCAUAAAAAACACAGAGGCUAAGAAGAAAAUACUCAGUGCUUUUGAGAUCAUGUACAAUGAAGAUAAAAAGACAAGAUGAGAGUUUUGCAGGUGUAUCAGGACAUGAUUCUAUGAGGGAGGGGAAAAAAAGCCCCAACACACCCACUAACGCAGGAUGAUACAGAAACUAAAAUGCCCAAAACCGGGGGUCCCAUUUAAUAAGAAAUGCUAAAGAACUAGCCAUGCAAUCAAUGGAAAAGGAAACCUUAAAAUAAAACAUUAUUUCAAAAAGCAAUGGAGAAAAAGAUAACCAGGUAAAUUCAGGUCAGCAUGUCUAGUGAAGGAUUUAGGAUUUUUGUGAACUCAGUAACUUUGCUCUAAAC